rnacentral:rRNA from 1 species
AUGCUUGACGACAACAACAUCCUCGCAAAAACAUUCAGAAUGGCAAGAGAUAGAUUCCAAGAAGGAGACUACCAUGAUUACACACUUCGGAUACUAGGCAAAAGGAACGAAACACACAACCUUCCACCUGCAUCUGAAGUUGCAGCAUUGGUAGUAAGAGAUCCAACCAGAGAGAGUGAAGGACAUGACAUUGUUGUUGAGUACAAAAAUAUGGAGCCGCAAUGGAUAUCAGAGAUCCACCCGAAAUUCAUGUCCAUGCAAUAUCCGUUGUUGUUUCCAUACGGAGAAGAUGGUUUUAAACUUGAGAUACCCUACAAGAAAACAAAGGGAGCUACAAACAGCAGGAAAUACGUAAUGUUGUUGGACUACUAUGCAUUCUACCUACAACAACGUCCUGAUCAAGGAAUGUUACUGCUUAAGUCUGGGCAUCUGUCGCUGCAAUUUUGGGUGGAUGUAUACACAUGUAUCGAGCAAAAUACACUAAAUUGGAUCCGACACAAUCAAGGAAAGCUACAAACUGAACUUUAUAGUGGAUUGCAUGAUGCGAUUGAGCAAGGGGACACAAGAACAGAGCAAGUUGGAAAAAUGAUAAUUGUGCCUUCAUCUUUUACAGGUGGUAGAAGAAACAAGGCACAAUAUCUGCAAGAUGCCUUUGCAAUAUGUCGUUGGGCUGGAUACCCAGACCUAUUUAUAACAUUCACAUGCAAUGCAAAGUGGCCUGAGAUCCAAUACAUGCUAGAUGAAGCGGGUGGUGGCCAAAAACCAGCCGAUCGGCCAGAUAUUGUGGACAGAGUAUUUAUGAUCAAACUAAAGGAGCUAAUGAGAGACAUAAAAGAAAAUAAAUACUUUGGAGAAACAGUUGCAAGUAAGUCCCAUUGA